rnacentral:lncRNA from 1 species
GUUUUACAAUUAUUAAUAAAAUCACUACUUGUCAUAAACAUAAUCAUGUAUUUACCUUUAUGUUCCCCUUCAUUGAACUGUAAAAUUCUUGAGAAAACAAAAUCAUUUUCAUAUCCAUAUAAUUAAUAUUGUAUUUAGUUUGUAGCAUGAUGCAUGACAAUCAUGGGCAAUCAUAUCAUAAGCAUAUCUAUACAAAUGAAUGGCUGAUAAUCAUCCCACAGGAAUCUUAAAUUCAAUAUUGCCAAAACAUACAAAUGAGGGAUGGAUUCUAGGCCCCAGAAUAGAGUCAUCAUUUACUCUCUAACCUUGGACAAUUUCCCUAACUUUCCCAUGCUUCUUUUGCCUUACCUAUGAAGUUGGGAUAAUAGCUCUACUUAAGGGUUAUUUUAUUUGGCAGUAUUAUAUCUAUCAUAUAUUACCACACUCAGAACACAGUCUGGUGUUAUUUGACAAUAAACCUUUCCAACAAGUGUUAUACAUGGACGUUCUCUGUUUUGAGGGACAUCCAUCUGAUCCCCUUACCUGGAGUGAUCCCCUUAUAUAGACUAUGCUAUGGUAAGUAACAUCGGGUCAGGGGGCUGUCAAUCGAAUAAGGGUUUAGCAAAAAGGACUCGUCAGUCGAUCCAGUCUUGAACUGCCACACCUUUGAUGAAACCGAUAGAUUAAGCUGCUGAAACAGUGAACGGAGGCAGCCUGAGCUUCAGUAUAGAGUGCUUGCUAAAAUUUUCUCUUAGGGUUGAGACUUAUCAGUGGUCAUAUGUCUGAUUCCCAAUGAAAGUGAUGCCUAUGUGGUACCCAGGUUCCAAGCAUUUAAAUAGUACUAAAAUGGGUUGGUCCCUGAACUGGCUCAUCAACAUUUCAGGCACUGUGACUCUCUCCUGGCCCAUGCACUGUCUUCUCCAUCAUUAAUCUCACACUGAGGGCUUUAGGACUAGUCUCUUUGUCAUGACACCCAAACUGCAGACCUUCCUCAACUAGACCAAUUGUCUAUUAUCUUUAGUUACUUAACCUUUUUGCUUCAGUAUCUUCAUUUAUAAAAUUGGAAUAUUGACAUUGUAUAUGAGAGAAUUGGUGUGAAAUUCAAUUAUAUAGCUGGUAUCAAGUGUUUUAUGCAGUCUGAUACAGGUUCUAAACUGUUAGCUAUUAUUAUAGAAUCAUACUGAAUUUCAUUUGAGGAGCUUACCCAAAUAAAGUUUGGAAACUACAACAAAUUUAUUCUUUUGUGUAUUAAAGGCAAGGUUUGUUUUUUAAUGUUACCAGGAACUGAAUUCAGGGAUGCUUUGCCACUGAGCUAUAUCCCCCACUUUUGUUGUUGUUUUUGGUUUUUUUUGGAAAUAGGAUCUCACUGAGGCUGGCCUCAAACUUGCAGUCAUUCUGCCUUAGCCUCCCAAUGCACUGGAAUUGCAGCUGUGUGCCACUGUGUCUGGCUUAUGUUUUAAUUUUGCCCUACAGAAUAAAAAUUCCAA